UACGGAGGGUGCAAGCGUUAUCCGGAUUCACUGGGUUUAAAGGGUGUGUAGGCGGAUAUUUAAGUCAGUGGUGAAAUCUCCAGGCUCAACCUGGAAACUGCCAUUGAUACUAUUUAUCUUGAAUAUCGUUGAGGUAGGCGGAAUAUGUCAUGUAGCGGUGAAAUGCUUAGAGAUGACAUAGAGCACCAAUUGCGAAGGCAGCUUACUAAACGAUUAUUGACGCUGAGGCACGAAGGCGUGGGGAUCAAACAGG
rnacentral:rRNA from 1 species